AACAUGUCCAAUAUCUGGACUGCCUGCUUGUAAUAUGAAUAAUAAUUUUACAUGUAAAUAUAUAGAUAAAUAUAAACAAACAUAAAUAAAACUGUAUUGAACUGAAAAGUACUGACAAUUUGAAAGGGAACACGGGCUAAGUUAGGCUAUAAUGGUCAAUGCUGUUAUGUUCAUAGCUGAACGUGGGAUUUUCAAAGUAUGGCUUUUGUAAAAAUAAUAAGGGCCUAUAAUCUGUUGCAUUUCUUCUCUAAAAAGUAGUAAUAGGUAAAAGUAAUACUCUAAAAAGUAAUAACAAGGAUUAAGGCUUUCCCAGUUUCCUAACUGAGCAUCUUUCUCAUCCGUGCCCAAUGGAGCUCACCUGCCACAGACUCCGGAGGCGAGUAGAACUGGCCGUCAGACAUAGGGCCCGGGGGGCGCAUGAGCGGGGCCCUCUCGGCAGCAUCCAGCGCACACAGAUACCCUGCAGGAGGGGGUCACCACAACAUCAGAACACUUGCUACCGCGACAUGUUUUCAUUCUGUUAAUAUUAAAGGUGUAGUCUGUGAUUCAGGGGAAAAACUGUUGAUAUUUGCACUCAACAGUCAAUCAAAUAACACCCAUGCCUUCAGUCCUCCAGAAGCAACGCGCUUAUUUUGCUGGAACAGUGUAUGGCUCAGUUCGAGUUGAAUUUGACAGAAAGUGUAUUGGAUUCGAAUCACAGACCUCACCUGGCAUGGCAAUUUUAUUAAUAAUUACUUCAAUUAAAUUAAGUUAAAUGCUGAAUGACAAACAUUUAACACGGUUACUAUUAUAUGAUGGGGAUGUUUGUUACUUUAUUUAAAUUUGUAAACUAAAUUAUAUAAAUGUGUUACUAUGCAAAUGUGUAAACCAACUGUUUAGUAAAGGUCUGCUUACUGAUGGCAUUAUGGGCACACACUAAGGUUAGGUCUGUGAAUGUGUGGUGGUUUACUGGGCCCUGGUAGAUCUGUGAAUGUGUGGUGUGUUACUGGGCCCUGGUAGGUCUGUGAAUGUGUGGUGUGUUACUGGGCCCUGGUAGAUCUGUGAAUGUGCUAUAUUGUUAUUUAGGGUAGGCAAUCGGAUUUUGAGACUAUAAAAAAGGUUUUGGUCACUUAGAUAUAGCCAUCUCACGUCGAUGUCCAAACAUGCGUAACAUAUGAUUGGGUACAUAUUCAAUUUAAUAAUCUAAAUUGGGAGCAGAAGAGGUCCGAUCUAUUAUGUAUGGAAAUAAAGGUUUUCGGAUGGAAACACAGGGUACUUUCACUCCUCUUCCCAAUAGCAUAGGCAACCUACUGUGUGGUGAUAUGAAAGAAUGAUCUUAAGCUUCUGACUACUGACUACUGCAACAGCAGGUUCAUCUCCGGUAACUAUGGCAUUCAACGUUAAUUGACUGUUAUCCUUUACAUGGCUUUUUUAUUAGCAACAGGUGAGUGAAAGCUUGUUUAACUGAGCAACGAGAGUGGACAUAAGGUAUUGAUUUGCGUAAUACGAGGCUUCUGGUGACUGUAUGUGUAGAUAUACUGACAAUGUGAGAUAUCCCACAGACAGGGGAAAAUAAGAGCAGCAGUGACCAGUAGUCUACAUGGAUGAGGAAUGCAUAAGAUAUGUGAGAUUGUGACCUAUAUUUAUGUUGCUGAAUUUGAACAGAUGGAUGAACCUGAAUGCGAUCUCUGUCUGCAUUUCGUAGUGGCCAAGAAGAGAUCUUUUGUGGAAAAUGCGCUGGUACGCAGCACUUCUUCUGCUGCCUAAUUAGACUACCAUAUGGGAAUAGAAAUGACCAGAUACCAGACCAGAUUAUUGUGUAUUUACGUCAUAGAUGACAUUCUCGGACAAAUUAGACUACCUCUUCCCAGAAGCUUAAGUCUUUCAAGAAGUGUAACCUUUUAAAACAAACAUUUUAUUCUUUUUUAAAAAGCAUGCCAGGAUAUAUUUGAACCUAGAGGAUAUCCGAGAUAGAUUAACUGCAUUAACCCAUAACACAGGUUUGCUCCUGCUUCCUUCCUAACACACAGAACUAUGUAGGCAUAAUGAGCCAUCCAUUCAAUAAAGGGAACGACAUUGAUCAUUGAUAUUUCUUGUCAGAUAGAUGAAUCAGACUUGGGCAGUGAAGGUUUGUAAUAGGCACGUUGAAAUGUUCUCUAUCAAAGAAGAAUAUGUCGCCACGCCUAUAUCCAAAAUUCACGCCUCAGUGGAAAGUAUGAUUUAUCGUCCGGCACUGUAGCCUAUGGCUCAAAUUAAGCUUUCAGUGCUAUCCUGCUCACCAGUUCAUAGCCACAUGGAGGGAGAGCAAGUUGUGUUUAUGUUGAAUGAGGCCUGAGUGUUACUAUUUCAACUGGCCAGGUCUAAAAAUACCAGAGUCACACAGCAUUCCACCAGCAGGCAUCAGACCAGGGGGGUGGGGGGUGGGGAGGGGUGGAGUGAAGGGGGUGGGUGAGGGCACCCCUCUCCCCUUUCUCUCUCUCUCUCUCUCUGACACCCUGUCAACCUCCUUCUCUUUCUCUCUCUCUCUCUGACUGCCUGCCAAUCUCCAUCUCUCUCUAUCUCCCUCUCUCUCUCUCUCUCUCGCUCCGUCUCCGUCUCUGUCUCUCUUCCUUCGGGGGUUACGUCAUGUUCCUUUCAUAUGAAAUCAAGCCUUUUCACCUCAGGAAAAAAAAUAUUUGUGAUACUAGAAAAAGUAUUGCGUGGUGUUUGUGUUUUCAAGCUGUAAUAAGCAGGUCUACGAUGUUCACACUCAUGCGGCUUCAUGAACAUGUGUUAUUGUGUCCCUCAGUAGAUGUUGCUGUCAUAUCAUGUGUAGGGCCUUCUUCUAAGAAAUUGCGCAAGCAUUCCCACAGUCUUGGUACACCAUUCACUAAACACAAACUAUAAAUGCUUGGCCAUGAGUCACAUGGGCCAUUGGGACAAGAACAUAUCAACAACAAAGCCACCAUAAGUCAAAUCAGUAUGUCGUUAUGACACAGGAGGAACACAACUUUAUAUAAAAGUACAGUUGCAACUGAAUCCAACUCCAUGAUUACGGAUCCUUCUCUGAUGGUACUAAACACUGAGAUACUGGUAUGAUUACUAUGUGCUUACAAAUAGAUACUGAUAGAUACAAAUAGAUACUGAUAGCAGAAGCCAAUGAGUCAAUGCCCUGUCUUUUAUUUCUGACCAAACUGACAUAGGUGGAUCACUUGACAGUGACGAGAUAUCCACAACAGACUUGAUAGUGUUCGCAUAGUGAGCAACAAACACACACCAACCACUGACCAAUGACAGCCCGCCUUUAGAGCAAACCCUCUGCUGCUAAACAUACCUACUUGUGAUUGGUUAUUUCUUGGACCUAAGAGCAUUCCAUCCAAUGAGCUUUAUCAAGUAUCAGGUGGCGGCAUGAUGACGGCAGUUGACCUGCGAGCAGUUCCUGAAUCCCAGAAACAGCUGUGUCAUCCUAUCUAUUGCACACAGCACUCACGGUAAACCAACAGGCAAUCUGACUCCACCUCACGUUUAGCAAUAACACUGGCAACAUCAGCAACAUUCAGAAAGAAAAAUCAUAUGCUGCAGGUCUCUCAAAGGACUGCCUGAGCUAAAAACCUAAACAAUCACCUCAAGAUGUUUAAACGUGUCGUAAAGUAAACAAAGCUCUGAAGAGCUAAAUGCUACCAUUUUGCUCCUUUCAAGUGACUGCAUGGAAAGGUGUUAUUCUCCAUAGGUGUGUAGGGCAGGCAUGAGGCCUUGUUUUCUGAGUACACAUCUGCUUUUUGGGCUCAGAUAUUAGAGCAAAGCACAGCUUUUUGGGCUCAGAUGUUAGAGUAAAGCACAGCUUUUGUAAUAGUAAACUUCCGUUUAUGGCAUCCUACUAAAAAACACCAGAGCUCCCAGAGUAGUCCAUAUGUAUGGGGCGCCGUUUGUAAAAUGUCGCACGUUCUAAAACCCUGCUCAGUUUUGGUACAUUUAGCAUUAUCAUAUGGGGAAAAAAGCACAACAAUAUUCAAAUGUCACUUUUUCAAACAUUUAGAGAGAUAUUCAUGUAAGAAUAAUGUUUGGCAGUAACACAAAGUUGUUGAAUAAUAUAAAUGUUUCAUCUAAAUGUAAAUGUUAAAUAUAAAUGUAAAUGUUAAAUGUAAAUGUAAAUGUUAAAUAUAAACGUAAAUGUUCAAUGUUAUAUAUAAAUGUUAAAUGUAAAUGUUAAAUGUAAAUGCUAAAUGUAAAUGUUAAAUG
ensembl:lncRNA